rnacentral:rRNA from 1 species
GACGAACGGCUGGCGGCGUGGAUUAGGCAUGCAAGUCGAACGGUAGGAUACCUUCGGGUAUCUGAGAGUGGCGAACGGGUGAGUAACACGUAGGUGAUCUACCCUCAAGAUUGGGACAACCCAGGGAAACUUGGGCUAAUACCGGAUGAAAGCAGCAGUGAUGUGUUUGAAAGGUGGCGUAAGCUGCCGUUUGGGGAUGAGCCUGCGCUCUAUUAGUUAGUUGGCGGGGUAAAGGCCCACCAAGGCGAUGAUAGAUAGGCGGCCUUAACGGGUGGUCGCCCACACUGGGAUUGAGAUACGGCCCAGACUCCUACGGGAGGCAGCAGUCGAGAAUAGUCUACAAUGGCCGAAAGGCUGAUAGUGCGACGCCGCGUGAACGAAGAAGCCCUUCGGGGUGUAAAGUUCUUUUAUAUGUGAGCAGUGCUUUCUAUGUGAACAGCAUGGGGAGAGAGAUAUUAGCAUAUGAAUAAGCAACGGCUAACUCCGUG